UCAGACGAUGCGUCAUGCAUAUCAAUAAGCGGAGGAAAAGAAACUAACAAGGAUUCCCCUAGUAACGGCGAGUGAAGCGGGAAGAGCUCGAAUUUGAAAUCUUAAAGGGUUUCCCUUUACGAAUUGUAGUUUAAAGAAGUGUUUUCUGUUGAGGUUUUGGUAAAAGUUCUUUGGAAUAGGACAUCAUAGAGGGUGAGAAUCCCGUAUUUGACCUUUACUUUCAACUCUGUGAUACACUUUCAAAGAGUCGGAUUGUUUGGGACUGCAGUCCAAAAUGGGUGGUAAAUUUCAUCUAAAGCUAAAUAUUGGCGAGAGACCGAUAGCGAACAAGUACCGUGAGGGAAAGAUGAAAAGAACUUUGAAAAGAGAGUUAAACAGUACGUGAAAUUGUCAAAAGGGAAGCGUUUGACACCAGUGUUGUUUUUCUGAAAAUCAAUUAAAGAACUGUUUAUGCUAAGUUGUUUAGACUUUAUCAGCUAACUGUUUAGUUUUGAGUUUUUCUUUAAUGCACUUUUCAGUUAACAAGUCAACAUCAAUUUCUUUUGCUGUAAAAAAGCUUGAGGAAGGUGGCUUGAGAUUCGUCUUAAGUGUUUAUAGCCUCUUGCCUAUGCAGUCGGAGAGAUUGAGGUCUGCAGCGUAGAUCCUUCGGGGCUAAAUGCAUUUGUGCUAAGUUAUAGCAUUUUAUAGACAACUUGUUGACUAUGAUUUGUCUUGUAGCUUACUCGCUUAUGUUAUUUUACCUACGCUUAGGAUGUUGAAUCUGUGCGAGACUAC
rnacentral:rRNA from 1 species